UCCUCGUGUUGCCUUAUCCAUACAUGGUGACCCAAAGAUGUGCCAUGCCGUUCCUUCUGAUGAGGCAGCAACAUUGACCGGCCAUGUCGUGUGGUGGGCAGCAUGGCUUGCGCGUAUGGUCUGCCCUGUCGGUAAGAGUUCACCCUUUCUUGAUCUAACUUCAUUUCUUUCUUGGUAGAAACAAAUCUUGGGGGAUAUAAUUGCUGAUGAGUUUUCUUAUGAUGUACAUGGUUAUACUUAUCAGGGGACAUGCAGGCAGAGAUGGAGUCACCUGCCAAGAGCUAGCUGGUGGGAUAUGGAUGCAGGUAUCUUCCUGUUUGGAAUGGAUUAGGUGUUUGUUUUUAGAAUUAAGAUCCGGACAAGGCAAUGAAAGUUACAAUAAGCAGUUUCUACUAGUGUUGCUAGCUGCUUGUUUUUGCUUAAAACUGAGCCUACAAGGUAGUGAAUAACAGUCUAGGAGAAUAUAUUACUGUCUUAUAAGAAAACAUGGAUACACAUCUUUAAUUUGGGCCCCUUUUACUUUCUAAUGAUGCAUGCAAUGUUCCCACUUGAUGUGGUUUUUGCGUGCUAGCUAUUAGGUAAGUGUUAUUACCAACUGUCCAGACAGGCCAAAGCUAAGCUAAUUAUAUGUGCGUCAGCAGCACUUUUGUUUGUUCGAUUCAAGCUAAGUCUACAAUAAUGCACAAGUAGCUUCUACUAGUGUCGCUAGCAGCAUGCUUUGUUUCUAAGGCAGAAGAUGUAGCAAAGGUACUCCUACUAGUGAAUUUUCCAACAUUAUGUAAAACUGAGCCAACAGUCCAUGAGAAUAUAUUACUGUCUUCUUAUAUAAGAAAACAUACAUACACAUCUUUUGGGCCCCUUUUUAUUACCUUGUAUUGAUGCAUGCAAUGUUCCCACUUGAUCUAUUAUCAGCUGUUGUGUAGUAGUAGUUCUGUCUAUUAGAACAGGAGAGCAUGUUUCAUGAGAACAACAGAAUGUGAUGUUUUAGUAUGGUCGUUGAAUGAAUUUGCCAUGUGAGAUUUUUUUUUUGUGAACGUAUUUGCCAUGUGAGAUUGCGGCGAGAUUUCUCCCGACUUGAUGCUGCUUAAUUCCAUGUGAGAC
rnacentral:lncRNA from 1 species